AAAGAGAGCUUCCCUUGUGAAUAUAUGCGCCCGCACCUGGACCUGGGCGUUGACAGGAACUGAAGCAGGCAUGGGAUCCUGCUGUUCCGUCUGCGUCUGUCAGGAAUAGGAAGACCACCUCCUGUGAGGCUGGGCCUUCCACCAGGUCUCCCUCCCUUGCGAAGGUUUUGCUUGGAAGAAGGCCAUGAGGCUGCAGUACUGACCACAUGCCAGACUUUUCCCUCAGGCCCUGGUGGAAGCCCCGGUUAAUGAGGUUGAGCACCUCUGACUUUUAGGACAGUCAGAGAAAAACCCCACGGCCAUCAUUCAAGGUCGGCAGGAGAGGCCAUGCCCAGCCCACAGCUCUGUUAACCAGCUAUUGCUCCAAAGGUGUUCCUGUGGAAAUCUUGAGGCCAUGUUAUAAGAGAACAAAGGGCACUGGACGUGGGAGGAGAACUGCCUGAAGGAUCAAUCCAGAGCAGCGCUGCCCAGUCAGGUGAGUCUCGGAUGGUAUGCUGACCCGAGAUGGAGAGAAAGACGAAACACAGCCAUCCUGAGCCAAACAAGCCUCAGCUUCCUGAGAACCCCUGAAGGUGUAUUAUUGAUAAUGAAAUAAAAAGUACAGUUCCUCUUUUGCUAAAAGUAUCACAUUCUUCUUUAAGAUCUGCAGACACAGGUCACCACGCCCCUCGCUCCCAGGCUGUGUUAGCAGCGGUGAGGACACUGACCCAC